rnacentral:rRNA from 1 species
GACGUAGGGCGCGAGCGUUGUCCGGAUUUAUUGGGCGUAAAGAGCUCGUAGGCGGCUUGUCGCGUCGUCCGUGAAAACCCACAGCUCAACUGUGGGCUUGCGGUCGAUACGGGCAGGCUAAAGUUCGGUAGGGGAGACUGGAAUUCCUGGUGUAGCGGUGAAAUGCGCAGAUAUCAGGAGGAACACCGGUGGCGAAGGCGGGUCUCUGGGCCGAUACUG